GCCAAAGAAUAACAUAAGAUCCCAACAUGUGGAAAUGGUCAAUGGAAUUCAGUUUCUCUUGUAAAUAUUUUUUACCACAAAUAUUUAGUGGAUACCAAAUUUAACUACUAUUUUUCCGGCAAUCCAUCCACCUUAAUUUCAAGAAAAUAUUAUUAUUAUUAUAAAACAAAAUUUUCCAUUUAACAAAGCUUUUUCACUAAUAACAAUUUUCCAAAAAAAAUUCCCAAAAUUAGUUGUGAUAUAGAAGUAAAAAAUCUUUUUCCAUUUGGUACAUUUUUCUUCUUUUUCUCUCUCUGCGAAUAAGGCUCUUUUAUAAAAGAUCAAUAUAAGAAGAGUUAUUCGCAGAGAGAGUUAAAAGAAAUAUUUAAAUUUCUAAUUACUAAGUUAUUAUUAAGUAACAAUGAUGAUUAAUGGUUCUUCUAGUAAGGUGCUGUUUGGCUUCUUUGCUGCAUUUGCACUAAUUUUCUCCAUUUUUUUGCCUAAUGCUCAGGCCAAACAGCCUUUUGCUCCAGCACCUGCUCCAGCAAAUGAUGGAACGACAAUUGACCAAGGGAUUGCAUACGUAUUGAUGUUGUUGGCAUUGGCAGUAACAUACUUAAUUCACUAAGCAGAUGUUCCCUUUAGUGUCUAAUUAAUUAUAAAAUUGUAUUUGGUGAAGAUGAUUAAUUAAUUUUGUCAGUGCCUAUUAUUUGGACAUAUAUAUAUAUAUUAUAUGAUGAAUAUAUUAUAAGGUUGUUCUGGGCCUAGGGCAUGUA